GUUCCAAAUGCAGUUUGGAUCUAUUGGAUGGUCAGUAGGAGCCACUCUUAAAUAUUCUGAUGCUGUCAAGGAAAGGCCUGCUAUUGCUCGAAUAGGUGCAGGAAGUUUCCAGCAGGGCAGCGGAGCAUUGUCUUCAUCAUUAAUAAUGGUGGAUACACCAUUAAAGUAGAGAUCCAUGAUGGGCCUUACAAUGUGAUUAAGAACCGGAACUAUACUGGAGUUGUUGGUGCCAUUAACAGCGGGGCAAGGUGAAGACUGAGGAGGAAUUCAAAGAGGCCAUAGCAAAAGCCACAGGAGAAGAAAAAUUGCUUGUGUUUCAUUCGGGUAAGUGUGCAUAAAGAUGAUCCAAGCAAGAAGCUAUUGGAGUGGGGAUCAAAGGUCUCAUCAGCCAACAGUAGAGAAACUUGUAUUCAAGGAUAGAGGAAUAGGAUGGCCAAUAUGUUGACAUCAACCGAUCCUAUGCUGAGGUAUACUUCAAAUAAAUAAUCUGUUCGUGUAGGAGCUUAGUGUAAGCAUCUAAACUGAAACAAUGCAUGCAGUAUACAAGUGCUAGUGUUACCAUUAAACAUGUGUUUGUCAGGAUUUCCUAUCACUUUCCUGUUGAAUGCAUAUUAGUAACCAUGAGGUCUGCUUGUAAACAGAGAAAGUUGGAUCAGUAAAUGAAACCAUUAUUAAACUGAGUUCCACUGAAACUUAUUAACAUGACAAAGGACAAUGUUACAAUCUGCCUCUACUUGAGGCUUCUCUUUUGAUUUUGUAAUUUAAGCAGGGGAUUGUUUUUCAGUAAUGAAGGCACCAUUUGAAUCAGGAAUUCCAUAUACAUCAUGUGAUCAAUGGCCAAUUCACCAAUCGAUUCUAGAGCAGAUAAUUCUUGCUAACUGGUUACCAGUUGCAUGCUUUGGUAGUCUUUGCACAAAUCUUGUUGCAGGUAUCGGUUCCGUCAAAGAAGUUUUGCGUACAGGAUCUGAUUCCAAGUAUCGGGAAGGCCAGCGAGACACCAGUGGCUGCAGUCCAUGCCAGGAUGAUCUCCACUGUAAGCAGACGGAUGUGCAUCUCUUCUGAGCUGAGAAAGCAAGGUUAUGUCGAGCAGGUAGACUGGUUUGGACAUGGCGCCGAGGACGCUCGUCACUACUCCUUGAGCUGGAACCGGACCACCUGGGUAAGUCGAUCCGUUUACCGGUUGCGUUUGUCCGUA